UGGUAAUGGGACUGGUGGAUAGGUGAAGGAUUGGUAAUGGGACUGGUGGAUAGGGGAAGGGUUGGUAAUGGGACUGGUGGAUAGGGGAAGGAUUGGUAAUGGGACUGGUGGAUAGGGGAAGGGUUGGUAAUGGGACUGGUGGAUAGGGGAAGGAUUGGUAAUGGGACUGGUGGAUAGGGGAAGGAUUGGUAAUGGGACUGGUGGAUAGGGGAAGGAUUGGUAAUGGGACUGGUGGAUAGGGGAAGGGUUGGUAAUGGGACUGGUGGAUAGGGGAAGGAUUGGUAAUGGGACUGGUGGAUAGGGGAAGGAUUGGUAAUGGGACUGGUGGAUAGGGGAAGGGUUGGUAAUGGGACUGGUGGAUAGGGGAAGGGUUGGUAAUGGGACUGGUGGAUAGGGGAAGGGUUGGUAAUGGGACUGGUGGAUAGGGGAAGGAUUGGACAGAAUGAGGAAACAUAUCGUAGAAGUAAAAAAAAAAUAUAAGUAUAAAGAAUAUAAGGGGAGAUACUGCAAUUUUUUUCGCAUAAUGUUUGGAAGAGAAGUUA